UUUUGAUAAACAAAAACAUUUGUCUUAAAUCUCGCCCAAAAGUGGAAUUGAAAUGCGAACUUUUUUUCGCGGUUAAUUUUUACAACUUUCCAAGUGACUUGACUCAGCAGCAGUGCAUCGAUGAAUUUAACUCAAAUUUCGACGAUAAAACUCCACCCUGAAGCAAUGUUUAUCGUUGGUAUGGUGAAUUUAAUCGAGGCCGUAGAUCACUACAAAGCGUAUUUCGUUAAGGUCGAUCAAAAUCAGUUCUUUUGCCGAAAACUAUUGUAAGAUCUUCAUGUGACAUGGGACAACUACUGUGGGCAUUAGUGGGCGCAGAUACAUUCCAUUCCAUUUAAUUUUGCAUGAACAUUUGACUGUAAAAAAAAUUUUCAUAUUGGAUCUCACACAAUAUGGAAAUCAGUCAAAAAAAAGGCUCAUGUCAUUGGUAGAAGGAAAUGUCCUAAACCCCAUUAGUGGUGCUGCCAAACAACUCUCGUGAUGGCUGAUGAACCGUGGAAACUGCAGUCGACUGUAUUUGUGUUUGAAGAUCAGUCAAAUCCAACAAGUGUUCUUCGGGCACGAAGCAUCUCCAAGCCAAUGGUUCCACUUCUUCACCGGUUGUCUUUAAAAAAAUCGAGAAAACCAACAGCCGUAGACGGAACGCACUGAUACAACUGCAUUUCUGAGCACCGGAAAUAUCGAUUUGUUGAGUCAUCCACGGCUUAGUGAUGACUUGACACCGAGUGACUCCUUUUUAUCGCCAAGCGUAAAAACUGCACUGUAAGUUCUAAGUUUUUGCACACCAGCUGAUGCAGUUGAUUCGCUUAAAAUGAUGUUUUAGAGAUACCUCAAUCAGUGUGGCUGCGACAAUUGAUACAAAUGCUUGAUGUCAAUGGUGAAUAUUUGUAAAAACCAUAAAACGAUAUAUGAUGUAUAAUACUUGUUUUUGUUCCCUAAUUCCGAAAUAUAAAUGGCAAACCUCAUCGGAGGUCAAUGUCGUCUUGGUCAGAG